GAAGUGAAGUUAAGCAUGGGUGUAAUUUAGGUACUCCUCAUUACAGAAUCUUUUGUCGUUUAGAGCCACAGAAUGCUACAGAACUUUUGCCAGAAGAUUUCCCAAAAAUUGUUUAAUGUUGCAAGAAAUACUUUACCAACUGAAUAUGUUACCAGUCAAG